GUGCUUGCUUCAGCAGCACAUAUACUAAAAUUGGAAUGAUACAGAGAAGAUUAGCAUGGCCCCUGCACAAGGAUGACACACAAAUUUGUGAAGCAGUCCAUAUUUUU
ensembl:snRNA U6 U6 spliceosomal RNA